rnacentral:lncRNA from 1 species
UUGUUCUCUCCUCCUAGGGUAUUAUUUUGGGGCUGAGUGCAGAAAUAAGAGAUGCGUGCUAAAAGGUCAUCGGUUUAGAACCAGCCCUAGAUCUCCUGGGAUCCUGCCCAGCUGAAUCUUCCUCCUUGUAACAUGGGCUUUGGGAAUUUGUGAGAGAUUUAAAUAAAGAUUUACUAAAGCAAUGUCUUCAAAGAGGUGUUUAAGAAGGAGAGGUUGGUCGGAACCAGAAAAUGCAUUCCUGGGAUGAUCUUUGGGAUACACCCAACUGACCCUCUGAAAAGGCACAACAUUUGUCAACUCAACACUCUUCAGACUUUAUCAAUAACAAAAAGUUGCUAAUGCUUGAUGAGAUGAUGAGUGAGAAGGUGGGAGGCAGAAGCAGCCAACAGAGAAGACAAAGGAUCUAAGAAAAUGAGAGAGAAAGAAAGGAGAAAAAUAUGUAGAAAUUUCAAGUUGAUGAUAACAUUCUAAGACCAGAUGAACACUUACUUUAUUUUCUGGA